AUUGAACGCUGGCGGCAGGCCUAACACAUGCAAGUCGAGCGAGCGGCGGACGGGUGAGUAAUGUCUGGGAAACUGCCUGAUGGAGGGGGAUAACUACUGGAAACGGUAGCUAAUACCGCAUACCAUCAGAUGUGCCCAGGUGGGAGUAGCUCGUAGGUGGGGUAACGGCUCACCUAGGCGACGAUCCCUAGAUGGUCUGAGAGGAUGACCAGCCAAACUGGAACUGAUACUCGGUCCAGCCUCCUACGUGAGGAAGAAGGGGUGAGUAUUGCACAAUGGGGGCAAGCGUGAUGCAGCCAUGCCGCGUGUGUGAAGAAGGCCUUCGGGUUGUAAAGCACUUUCAGCGGGGAGGCGUGACCCGCAGAAGAAGCACCGGCUAACUCCGUGCCAGCAGCCGCGGUAAUA
rnacentral:rRNA from 1 species